rfam:Trichophyton benhamiae CBS 112371 contig01293.0, whole genome shotgun sequence.
GGGCGUUUAGUUUAGUGGUAAAACACCCCAUUCGCAGGAUAACAUUGGGGAGCUGGGGGUUCGAUUCCCCCAUCGUCCA